rnacentral:rRNA from 1 species
AGGGUUUGAUCAUGGCUCAGGACGAACGCUGGCGGUGCGCCUUAUGCAUGCAAGUUGAGCGAAGCUUUUUGGUAGUUUACUACUAGAAAUGACUGAGCGGCGAACGGGUGAGUAACGCGUGAGCAAUCUACCUUAGUUACUGGGAUAGCCCGAGGAAACUCGGAUUAAUACCGGAUAUUCUUAUUUUUUCACAUGAAGUUUUAAGGAAAGGUCAGCCGAACUAAGAUGAGCUCGCGUUCUAUCAGCUAGUUGGUGGGGUAAAAGCCUACCAAGGCUACGACGGAUAGCUGGUCUGAGAGGACGAUCAGCCGCACUGGGACUGAGACACGGCCCAGACUCCUACGGGAGGCUGCAGCAGGGAAUAUUGUGCAAUGAGCGAAAGCUUGACACAGCGACACCGCGUGUGGGAUGACGGUUCUAGGAUUGUAAACCACUUUCAGGAGGGAAGAAAAUGACGGUACCUCCACAAGAAGACCCGGCCAACUAUGUGCCAGCCGCCGCGGUAA